rnacentral:lncRNA from 11 species
CCGCACCCCAUCCUUUACUCCCUUCUGUAGUUAUGGAGAGAGCUCCACCCUGCAGCUUACUUGCUGUGCUCCAGCCUAAUAUAGUCCAUGCCGAACCCUCCCCACCCCCUUCUAUUCUGUCUCUAUCUAUAGCCCCUCCUUAGUCACCUCCUAGUCCUAUUUUCAGCCUGAGCAGCUGAUGUGAUAGGCAGGAGCCUGUGUUUACUUCCCCCUCCAUUCCAAGGGGACCCGUAUCGUCCCCUCACUGCUUCUUCCAUGCACUUGUUAUCCCUUUCUCCUUGAGUUGCCUCUGGAAGAACAAUCACCAGAAGAGGAGUCUGGCUAGAGGGAUGUCCACUGAAAUUGCAGAAGAUCCCAUGUUGAAGGAUGCGACUUCCUCAGAUAGAGAACUCAUUGAGCUCAGCGAUAAUGAUAUGGCAGAGAUCAACUUGCAUGCAGUGGAAUCCAUUAGUGAUCUGCACUAUGCAUCCAGCAGGCACGAAGGUGCAAAGCUCAGAGAAGAAAGCAGACGGUCUCAACCCAAUACCCCCCGGACCCCACACAGUGCUACUUCCUCCAAGCAUUUCACCUUCCCAAAUGAAGAGGACACAGGCUUUCUACCAGUCCCGGAAUUCAGUAUCUUACCUGCUUUCACCUGCUGCCCCUGCUUCGGCCUCACAUUUUGUCCCACAGGCUUCUUUGCCCUUCUUGGAGUCCUUGUAGUGGCCAGCCUUGGUCUGGCCACGCUAGCUGUUUAUCUAAGUGUCCUCCAGCGUGAGUCACUCCGGGUCCUUGCCCAGUGGCUGGAGUCCCAAGAGGAGGCCAUCCGGCAAAUGAGAGCAGUGAGCAUACAGCUAUGGCAGCAGCUCAAUAACAGUGAACUUGAGACUUAA